GUGCUUACCUUGGCAGCACAUCGAGUGAAAAUUGGAAUAAUACAAAGAAGAUUGAUAUGGUCCCUCCAAAGAAUUACGUGACAAUUUGUGAAGCAUUCAUCUUUUUU
ensembl:snRNA U6 U6 spliceosomal RNA